GGGAUAUAGAUCAGUGGUAGAAUGCUUGCCUCACAUGCAUGAGGCCCUAGGUUCAAUCCCCAGUACUGCCA
rnacentral:tRNA from 1 species